AAAUGCAGACUCCUGAUUGGUGAGACGGGAUAAGCCCCUCCCCCAACGACAAGCACUCUGAGCGGAUGUGAUGCUGCUGAAGAGUUACAGAUAUUAGAGUUGUAAAAUAUUUAUUAUGGGGAAGUAAAGUCAGUUUACAUGACUGAAGAGCUUCAUAUGGAGUAAGAAACGACGUAUUCAGUUCUUGACGACGUUUUGGCCAGAUUUCAAGGGUCCUGGAAACUGACUGGAACAGAGGAUCCAACCUGGAGGACAUCAGCUGGUCCUCCACAGGCGCUGAGGAGGAUCGUCCAAUCAUCUUGAAGAAUCCAGCGUUGUGUCUAAGGGACGGAGUGGAUGUGUUUAAUGCUUCAGGAAGCACAAACAGCUCUGCAGUCUGUGAUCAUUCGCCGCUGCUGGACGACAGAACGAUGCGACCUGCGCCUCCUGGCUGGGCUCAGACGCAGCCAGAGGAACGGCCUCGGGAUUUCCAGAUUCUCCUUUGUGAUUUGAUCCUGAUGCCGUUGCUUUCAGUUGUCAGAAUCCAUCCGGGAUCAGAGGGGUUUUUUAGGUGCAGCAGACGAGAGCAGAGCUGCGUCUGGAUUAGCGGUCUGCAGGAUCGGCUGAAAACCAGGCUGAUUAAAAUGCCGUUGCUCAUACCUGGAACGAUUAAAGACGUUUUUUUAACCUUU